GACGAACGCUGGCGGCGUGCUUAACACAUGCAAGUCGAACGGAAAGGCCCGGCUUGCAGUGUACUCGAGUGGCGAACGGGUGAGUAAGACGUGGGUGGUCUGCCCUCCACUUCGGGAUAGGCUUGUUAAACUGGGUGGAAUACCGGAUAGAAACCAUCUUGAAUGGAGUGGUUGGAAAGUUUUAUCGGUGUAGGAUGAGCUCGCGGCGUAGCAGCUUGUUGGUGUGGUAAUGGGGUACCAAGGCGGCGACGGGUAGCCGGACUGAGAAGGUGUACGGCCACAUUGGCACUGAGGUACGGCACAGACACCUACGGGAGGGAGAAGUGCGGAAUAUUGCACGAUGGGCGCAAGCCUGAUGCAGAGGCGCCGCGUGGGGUAUGACGCUCUUAGUGUUGUAAACCACUUUUGCUAGUGACGAAGCUUUUUGUGACGGUACCUAGACAAGAAGCCCCGGCUAACUACGUG
rnacentral:rRNA from 1 species